AAUAAAGUAACACAUAUAAAGAUGAGUAUAAAGCAAAUGAGAUUAUUAUUGUUGUUAUUGUCUUUGUCAGAUUCUCAAAAUAAUUAAGAAUAUAUUUUUAUAUAAAUGUGCUUGGCAACAUAGCUGAAAACAGCAUUAGUAGUUAUAUACUUUUAUCAGUAACAAAGACAUAAAUUUUCAGGGAGAAAAACACUUGUAAUAACAAUGUCAGAAUUAGCAUACAAAUUCUGCAAAACAUUUUUGGCAGUUUAAUUGGGGCAGUGUUUUGUAGACAAAUGAACAACUUAAGUAAGGGGAAUCAACAAAACUUGGGUUUCAAAAGUUAUCUGGGUUUAGAGUGUGAAACUUCGUCGGAGGACACACACCUUGCGUGAAUGAGAUGCCUGUGUGUGUGUGGACAUGUUGGAGGAACAGCAUAAUGGUGGCUUCCUCCAGAAAGGGACAUUUGGGGGAGCACCAAUGGCUCCUGACUCACAGUGGAUUCAUUCCACCUAGACAACACAGCCUGAUGUGGCCUGGACAUGAAUGGAGGUCAAAUGGGCAGUAGCUGAGAGGAUCAGCCCUGACAAGGGCCAGGGUAAAAGACCUGGGAGUCUCUUCAGGUGCAAAGUCUUCAGUUGAAAAAAGGAGGUGGUCACAGGAGAUACUGAGCUGGAUCAAUAAAGUGCAGGAGAGAGAGUUGUUGGCCCUGGGGAGUGAGUAGUAUGGACUCUUAAUUUUUCUCCUCCCUCCAUUAAUUUCUCUUCCAGUGCAGACUUCAGUCUUAGACUUCCCAGCUGCCUUGAGGGAUUGGAUGAGCCUUGGCCAGCUCUUGAAGGAAACAAUAAAAUCAUUUUAAUGUGCUACUUUUCAUUUUGAAGUCGUUACAGUAUCAUUUGCAAAACUCAACAAGGAAAGAUGCCUGUGGAUGGCCGUGUUCUGGGAGUCACUGUGAUGAGGUGCUGCCUGCUUUCGCCCAACCUGAUCUGGGGCUCAGACAGCUAACAGGCCCGAGUGGCUAGGAGGUUUGGAGGGAACCAGGUUUCGCUGUGAUGAAAGCACCUUGCUGUGGGCUGGGAGGUGGGAGUGCAGGGCAGCCUGGGCCCCCCUGGCCCCAUACUCAGAUCGGCAAGUGCCCAGUGGAGGCCACAUGGCCCCAGCACCAACCAAUGUAGGGUCUGUGGGUCCCAGCAUUUCCACAUCCUGAAAAGUGAGACGUGAACUGUUUCCUAGGCAAGUUCUCUUCCACUGUGUUCUGGAUGAGGUCUGUGAGCUCCUUCCAGUUUCACAAAGAAUGUGCAGAAGGUGGAAAGAGUGAGGGACGCAGGCCCAGCUGCAGCUGCACUCAGGCCCCUCAGUCAUAAAGUCCGGGUGAGGGGCUGAGUAGGCGCUGACAGGAGAACAGCCCCUGUUCCUCUUCCCUAGCCAGGUUCUCACACGUCCCUGAGGAACUAGAGAGGAACGCCUCUGGGAAGCCCAGCCAGAGCCAACUGGAAGGGCCUUUUGGUGAAGUCUGACAUCCUACAUUAGUUUCUCUGGACCUGGGUAAGAACCGGCCCCCAGGGGAAGGACUGUUUUGCCAGCACCAACUCUCCAGCUGGGCUGUUGGUUCCCAUUGCCUCCCGUCAUGGAUACAGAAAAUCAGCCAGGCUAUUCCUAGUGUAGUAAAUACAGAGCUGGCUGAGGCAGGGCCAGCUGAGGUGCAAACUCCAUGGGGUUUGCUGUCAGUCCGCCAGCCAUCUGUCCAGCAGGCCUCAGCUUCACAAACAGGAAAACAGAAGGAGUGCAUCUACUCACUGGGUGUCACACUGCCCCUGCUCACAGCCACCACCUGCAUCGAGGCAACCUGCAGGCGGGAGUUUGGUUCCAGGAGGUGUCUGUAAACUUCUGUCCUGGGGUGGGCCACUGCAGAUGGCCUGUCCUUGCUUUCUCAUCACCAAAUCCCCGUUUUGGUGCUGACGCAUCCAGACGUUAAAAUCGCUGAUGUUUUCACAAGACCCACAAAGAGGGAGGGUCCAGGCACAUUUUUUCUUUCCGUAUCACCCUGGAGUGAUGGGGAAAUUUCCCCAAAAACCAUGUGUACUGUGAUUGCACAUAUUGGGGUGGGUAUAUUAGACUAGGGGGCCGCGGAUGGGUGGGGAAAAUCUUUCAUGUGAGGUAUUCCUCUAAGCAAUUCUUGACAACUCUUUUCUCCUCCCUUCUGGAAGCUUCUGGCACUGGAGGUGGAGGCACGGCAUGUCAGGGGUGCAGGUCAAGACCACACAUGCUUGGCACAGUACACAGAGCUUGGCUGGGCUGUGGGUGGGUGAGCAUAUGCAGGAGGGCCCUUGG
rnacentral:lncRNA from 1 species